CUUAUAGAAGCACGGAGUGCUCCGGCUUCUACUUUGUUUUCGAUGUUCGGACUUUCGAAUCGACGAUCGCUCCGUUAGACUUCAUUUAGAGUAUUUGAAGUAUCUAGAAAAAUAAAUUUUGCGAUUUUUCGAUAUCAUUUGUCUAGUGAUCGAAGUGGCUCGAAAUCAACGGCUGAAAAUAAAAAUCUUACAAAAUAUGAUGAUAUGACAUUAAAAUUUUAGAUCAAAGUUAUUGAUCUUGUUUUAUAUGGUAUAAAAAAUUUUCUAUCAAAAUUUCAUGUGAUUUGGAUAUUUCUACACCGUUAAACUUGCAACCGGCUUACCACGGCCGUUAAAAUUAUUAAUUUUUGAGCCCCUUCGAUCACUAGGCAAAUGAUAUCGUAAAAUCGCGAAAUUUUUUCUGGUACUUCAAAUACUCUAGAUCAACUCUAACGGAGCCGAUCGUUGAUUCGAAAGUCCGAACAUCGAAAAUGACUUGGAAGUGUGCUUCCAUAAGCAU
rnacentral:lncRNA from 1 species